UGGCUCUCGCAUCGAUGAAGAACGCAGCGAAAUGCGAUAAGUAAUGUGAAUUGCAGAAUUCAGUGAAUCAUCGAAUCUUUGAACGCACCUUGCGCUCCUUGGUAUUCCGAGGAGCAUGCCUGUUUGAGUGUCAUGAAAUUCUCAACCUUUCUAGCUUUUAUAGCUUGUCAGGCUUGGAUUGUGGAAGUUGCUGGUUCAAGUACGAAUCAGCUCUUCUUAAAUGUAUUAGCAGAAACCUUUGCUGACCAUCUUUGGUAUGAUAAUUAUCUAUAUCAUUGAAAAUCAGCGUCCUCCCAAGGAAAGGCUUCGCUUCUAAUAGUCUUUUAGACAACUUGACAACUUUGACCUCAAAUCAGGUAGGACUACCCGCUGA
rnacentral:misc_RNA from 1 species